GGCUCUGUGGCACAAUGGAUAGCACAUUGGACUCCUAAUCCAAAGGUUAUGGGUUCAAGUCCCACCAGAGUCA